CCUCCCUCUUGCUUCGUCACAUCCUCUUUCCGUUGCCCUCCUCGCUCAGAGAACCUUCUCCACACGAUGAGAGCCAAGUGGAGGAAGAAGCGUAUGCGCAGGCUGAAGCGUAAAAGGAGAAAGAUGAGGCAGAGGUCAAAGUAAGCCCUCAUCCCCGCCAGCUGUGAUCCUGUCAGAGCCUCUUCAGAUGACUGACGCGUAUGGCUGAAGUGGAGCCUCCAUCAGCUGAACGAAGGCGGAAACCCCGUUUCAGAUGAGGGUGCGUCUCAUGGAGCCUGCUGUGAAUGUCUGACUGGACGAGGCAAAAGACGGUGGACGAUCUCAACAUCUGAACUACAGCUGUGUUGUUCAUGGACCAGAAUACAAUUUGUUUAUCAACAACUGUCUUGUGGUGGUGUAUUGAACAAUAAAUGAACCCUGUUUAAAAAUGA